CUGGACUCACAGGCCUCCCUUCCACUCACAGCUUUUUGAAGUAGCUCUGUGGACUUACACCAGAGAGAUGAAAAGCUGAAAUCCAGCUGCCGUUCAUUCCUGCUUUGAGAUUAGGAAAGGUAGAGCUGAAUUUGGGCUAUGUUACUCAGAAGCUUUUCCCCAGCUGAUGGAGGCCUGCCCUGGAGGUGCUCAGCUCCAUCUCUGCUGUCCAGGCUGUGAGCAAGAACACCUAAGGAAAGCCAGCAGCCUCCUUCACUCUCCCUCCCCAUCCAUUCAGGUACAGGCCACAAGUCUGCAGCAUCUCACUACAAAAUCAGCACAGAGGCAGUGAUCACACCACGAUGAAAAAAAAAAAAAUAGAUUAAAAAGAGAGGAAAAAAUCAGCUGCUAGAACAAAAGCCAAACAGAAAUGUGUUCCUUAAAUUAUUAGUAGUGUAUUAGAGGUGAUUUAGCACUCACAUGGCCAUUCCUACAACUGCAGAGACCCUGCAACAUAUCUUAUUCCCUUUGUAAUGCGGAUGGCACUGAGAUUGCUCUCAUCUUCUGGGCUUAUAAGCAAAUAUAUUUAAUUUGGAUGUAAUACAGCCAGGAGGGUGAUUUCUCCAGAUGGCGAUUUAAGCAACAGAUCAAGAGAUGAAUUAAGCACCUCAUUCCUUCAGAUUUUAGGAGAUCUGCAGGUGCCAGGGAUCCUGCCUCCAGCUUGGGUCCAGGGUAAAUUUCGGCCAAGAUGAAGCCUCUUAUUGGCUGCAUGAAUUCUAGCCUCCUUCAUUAACAUGAAGAGUGCCGUGCUCCCCGCUGUCUUAGGAGUUACAGAACAUUUAAAAGAUGAUUUGCGGACAGAUUAAGGACUUCAGAAGGAGAGAUGACACCAGACCUAGGUCUUGCAGAUGCAAACUCCUGUCAAGUGUGAGAGGAGGGGGAGUAUUAUCCACCAGUGGCAGAUAGGCUGGGCAUCUGGGCAGAAUGAUAAGAGCUGUGGCCCUGCAGCCAGUCCCUGCAUUUGCACCCUGAGUUUGCCAUGAGCUGUGUGACCUUAGUCAAGUUUCUCAACCUCUCUGUGCCUCAGCUUCCUUCUCUGAAAAAUGGGGAUCGUGUUUUGCACACAGCCCGACACACAGCAAAUAUUCAGUGACUGCUGCCGCUUUCUGCCAUGGCUAAAGGUGGUGUUGUGGUUUUCCUUCCAGGUUUUUAUGCUUUAAUUUCCUAACUGUUCCUGCAUUACUUCACAGUUGAUGACGUGUGGGGCCAAGCUCUUGGCACACGUGAGCACAGUGGAUAUUCAAGGAGCGUUAACUCGGGUCCAUUUUUCUUUCCAUCAAACACAGCCUCCUGGUAAAAGAGCCAUUCAGGAUGCCUGGAGGAGCCCAGAUUUCAAAUCUGAUGAAGUCUGCAGUUCUAUAAAUUCCCUCCCUCUUUUGUGCUGAUGGCAACGACUUUUAUAUGUAUUUUCAUGUCUUUCUCUCCAGAGAUAAAUUUUGUGGCCUGCCACUGAAUCUGCUUCCUAAAAUGUAGCUUGGAGAUUUUAUUUGAGAUAAACUAUCAUGUGAAUAAAUAUAGAUACUAUAUUUUAAUCUGGGAGCGUUCCAUUUGGAACCUUUUUUUUUUUUUAAAGUCAACAUUAGUGGUGCCGUCAUUCAAAGGAUAUGGACGUUUGGGGGAAAUUUACAUCCAACUGUGACUGAGAACCUUUUGCCAGGAUAAUAUCUGUUUCUCUGAAAAUGACAAUGGCUAUGGACGUAAAGCAUGAUCUCAGAUGGCAGUCCCGAAAUCAGGAAGGUCCAUUUCAACACAUCUCCUGGCCCCUGUGGCAAGCUACAAUGCUGGUAUGCUCGCAUGGUAGGGUCUCUGCCUUGCAGGUAACACGUGUCCAUCUGAGAAUAGUAAAGGAGGUUCAUUUGUUUAUGUGCUGGUGGUGCUGAGGAGUUUCACAGAGGCUGGAAAACAGGGGCUGGCAAUUGAUUCCCCCCAGAGCCCUCCGUUUCACAUUGCCCCACCCCAGAGACCAUGGGAGAUGAUCAUGGGAGAGGAAGGUAAACAUGCAUCAGUGGAGCGGGAGAGUGAAGGGGUGAAGAAACAGGAAACUGCGAUCACUGUGGGACGUUGCCCUUUUUUCAUGACCACGAAGAUGCAAAAUGCUGAGCCUUGUUAUUUCUGGCCCAGCUCUAGACCUACAAUCUGCUCACAUUGGUGAAGUGAAAGCACCUGCAGGAUUGAAUUUACCCAGUAGGUUAGGACCCUGCAUGCUCACGGAACCGCCCUACCCAUCCUGCCUCCCCACCUGGCUCUGCCUCCUAAAUGGAUAGAUACAUGCUGUUCUAAAGUUGGCCAAGCUCUAUAGUCUCCUUGGGAAAAUAACAACCUUAGAACAUGGGACAGCCCUGUACUCACAAAUUGAUGUCAUAGCCUAAGACAACCAAGGCAACAGAGGAUUCUCAAGAAGGUAGUGGAGGGGACAAAUAACUUCUACCUCAGGAGAUCAAAACGUGAAGCCACUGGUCACUAUUCUGCUGGCUUACACUGAUGUUUACUCACCAUGACAUAUUAAUGAAAGGCUUUUAAUGUCAGUCAUUUCAAUCACAAAUCCUUACAAAAUAAGCAAAGUGUUACUCUUGCUCCAUGAACAGGAUACAGAGAUUCCUGCUAAAAUCACCCCAAGCUCAACCCUGACCUCACCUGCUUUAAUUAUGCGUGAAGUAAGUCAAAUUCCUUUGCAACAAGCAGGCAUUCAUUAUCUAUAAUUCCUAUUUUAUAACUUUUUUGUUUGAUCUAUCCCAGAAUUCAUUCUGAAGAAAUUCAACAGAAUAAAUGAUCAUUUUCCCUGACCACUUGACUGCUGCUUUGAAUAUGUAAUGUGGCUACACAUGUAUAUUAUUUAUGAAAAAUUGAUUGCUGUAACAUCUCAAUAUUCCUUUCAUGCCCUGUGAAUGUGGACUUAAUACAUUUCCUCUGAAACCCACGACUGGCCUGCAGUACGUGACAAUGCCUUGGAGAGGCGAAUGGAUUUAUUGGUUUGGGCAGCCUGUCGUCUGUGCGGAAAUUAGGGAAUUCCUGCGCACAGUCGGCUCUCGCCUGCACGUCAGGAGCUUCAGCUGGCAUGGGGCGUGAUGACUGUGCUGGCCCAUAGGGCAGUCCCCAGUAAAUUUGGAGGACAAUAUAGACCAGCAUCCCAGCGUUUCUCUAAGGACCAUGGUCUAAAAACCACGCCCCGUGAGGGAGACCCGGGAUGCAGGGAUGCACACUUUCUCCAGCUCCCAGUCUGACUUGAGCCCUGCGGGGUAAGUAUCGGAUUCCUCCAGACGCAGAUCUUGAAACGACUGGGACGGACCCAAGUUGUUUCUUUAGGAGGCAAUUCCAGGCAGAAGUGGGAGAGGCGUGUGGAAAUGAGACAAGGAGGCCGCAGGGGCCAUGGGGAGAUACCACUGGGUGCUCUGGGACCAGAUCCUCCCUGCAGAGGAAGGAUCCCAUGUGUGAGGCCCCGUGUACAUCUUCCGCCUCCCAAGUGUCAUUGCACGGGCACGCACAGAGCCCAGGGUCCCUCUGCAUUCCCUGCCGUGAUGGUGGGGUGGGAGGAAGCCCUAGGGGCUGGGAGUCCCGGAGACCCAUAGAGGACAGAAAAGGACAUGAACUGGACCAGUGAAUACUGCGGGGACAGCGUCUGCAGCUGGGAGGCGUUCCUGAGAGUUUACAAGUCCAUCACCGCCCCGUCCCUCACGGCACACCCAGAGCCUGGGAGUCAAGCCAGAGUGGCUGUGCAAAGCCAUGCCUGCAAUCACUGUCGCUGUUUCUCUGGAAUCCAGAUGAAAAUGAUCUACAGGCAGGGAUGAGACUUGGGGCAGGAGAAUGGUUUGAGGACACAAAGCUCUGGUGUCCUGGUGAACAACAAGAUCUGGUCAACUGCUUUGCCUACAAGAACCUUCUGAAGAGCAAUUCUGGUGUUGGAUGUAUGAGAGAUUGAUGAAUUGUGAAUAAGAUGCACAGCAGGUAAAACAAAACGAAAACAGCCACAAGGGAGCUGUCCCCGCACCUCCACCACAAUGGCAGGGGCAGCAGCGAACCCAGCAAGGAUCCCCUGCCUGCAGUGGCUGCUCAGAGACUUGCGGCUGCCUCUGUCUGAAGGUCUGGCUACUGGAGGAGUUCUAGGAUGGGGAGGGGGGCCCAGGAUCAGGUCGAGCAUUCCUCACUGCUGGACCAGGCAUGAGGUAGCUCACACUUCUGCAGCCUGGAAAAAGAGUGGAUUUGGGCUGCGCACAUCCCUGGUGCCCAAAGCGUGGCCAGAAAGACAGCCCCUGUAUCACCUGGGAGCCUGUUAGAAAUCAGUCUCUGGUUGAGCCCCGGAUCGGAUGACUGGAAAUGUAUAUGUUAAUAAGGUCCCCAGGUGCUUCAUGCUCACAUGACAGUUUGAGAGACAGGGCACUGGCUACAGCUUCUGGCCCAGCUCUGCGUCUUUGGGGACUGAGUCAAGAGGAGCCCGCAUGGGCUUGGAGUUUCCCAUGGGCCUGACACGGCCUUGUUUCAUUUCAUUCACUAAAUGACGGUGCUUGGCAGGAGCACCACCGUCCACCUCUUACAGAUGAGCUCAGAGCUGCCUCAUGAUGUGCUCAGAUGCGUUCUGCAGCAGUCGGUGUGGACAUGGGGCAGCUGCCUCUGCAGUGCACCCAACUCACACCAGACUCUCCUGCCCUCGAUCCCAUGGGAGGUCCAAAUGGCCCCGUCCAAAGAGUGACCCCAGGCCACAGAGCAGCCCAAUCUUGUCCAAUUUGGAUGAUUCUAGGAAGAUUUCCAAACAAGAAAAAAAAAUGUUUCGAACCCAAACUGAAGGAGAUGGCAAAAGACACAAAGUAAUGAAGUGGGAGCCAAAAUGGUUUUCUUUUCCUCCACUGAAUAUUUUUCAUGUGGUAUCGGAUGUUCUUUAAAGGUCAAAUGUUACUAUUGCUCAUUUCCUCCUCAGCUAAUCAAGUAUUACGCAGUGGCUUAAGGUCACAAGCGUGAGUUACUGAUGAAAAUAAAAGCCUGUUCUUGAUUUUGUAAGGGAAACACAUGAUUUGAGUACACGCCUGUAGAAACUACUUUAUGUUCAGGGCAAGCAUGUUCCGCACGUAUUUGAAUUUGGGCAGAUGAUG
rnacentral:lncRNA from 1 species